GACGAACGCUGGCGGCGUGCCUAAUACAUGCAAGUCGAGCGAAUCUUUUGGGAGCUUGCUCCCGAAAGAUUAGCGGCGGACGGGUGAGUAACACGUGGGCAACCUGCCUAUAAGACUGGGAUAACUUCGGGAAACCGGAGCUAAUACCGGAUACGUUCCUUUCUCGCAUGAGAGAAGAUGGAAAGACGGUCUCGGCUGUCACCUAUAGAUGGGCCCGCGGCGCAUUAGCUAGUUGGUGGGGUAAUGGCUCACCAAGGCGACGAUGCGGAGCCGACCUGAGAGGGUGAUCGGCCACACUGGGACUGAGACACGGCCCAGACUCCUACGGGAGGCAGCAGUAGGGAAUCUUCCGCAAUGGACGAAAGUCUGACGGAGCAACGCCGCGUGAACGAAGAAGGCCUUCGGGUCGUAAAGUUCUGUUGUUAGGGAAGAACAAGUACCAGAGUAACUGCUGGUACCUUGACGGUACCUAACCAGAAAGCCACGGCUAACUACGUGCCAGCCGCCGCCGUAAGAC
rnacentral:rRNA from 1 species